rnacentral:misc_RNA from 1 species
GAAAUGCGAUAAGUAGUGUGAAUUGCAGAAUUCAGUGAAUCAUCGAAUCUUUGAACGCACAUUGCGCCCCUUGGUAUUCCAUGGGGCAUGCCUGUUCGAGCGUCAUCUACACCCUCAAGCUCUGCUUGGUGUUGGGCGUCUGUCCCGCCCCCGCGCGUGGACUCACCUCAAAUCCAUUGGCGGCCCCCGCGUCGGCCACGAGCGCAGCAGAAACGCGAACUCGUGAGCCCGUCCGGGCGGCUCCCAGAAGCUACACCCACCCAGUUUGACCUCGGAUCAGGUAGGGAUACCCGCUGAACUUAAGC